CUUACGUAAUGUAAAAUAGUAGGCACAUAGUUGAAUGAAGGCUCAGGCAGAGAGGAUCACUUUUCAAAGAUUGUAAAAGAAGUUACGUGGAUAGUGUGUGUUAUGCAGCAAGGAAAGGAAUGGAAAAUCAGAAGACGUGUUUAGAUCACACAAACCAGAGGUGAAAGCUGAAUCUGAGAGGCUUCUGUUUCCAGCAAUAAGAAUUUCUGAUCUAUGGCAGCCCUGAGAAAUCAGAGUUGAAGAGCUGGAAAGAGAUAUUAUAUGGUUAUAGUGGCACCUGCAGGAUAAACUGAGAAAUUUUGCUUGCUGGAUUCAGUUUUUUCUUUCCCCCCCUAAAAAGUAUGCAUUAGAGGGAGGGGCUGGUGAG
ensembl:lincRNA